ensembl:misc_RNA Metazoa_SRP Metazoan signal recognition particle RNA
GCCGGGCGUAGUGGCGGGCGCCUGUAGUCCCAGCUACUUGGGAGGCUGAGGCAGGAGAAUGGCGUGAACCCAGGAGGUGGAGCUUGCAGUGAGCCAAGAUUGUGCCACUGUACUCCAGCCUGGGUGACAGAGCGAGACCCUGUCUCAA